GUCUCGAGUCUCGAGGAUCUCGGGGCAAGACGGUGUGGACCCGCCGACUGUCCCCAUAGUACUCCGCAGAGGCGGCCCUGCGCAACAGCACCGGCCCGAUCCGGCCGCCAGUGUCUUAUUACGCACGUUGCGGCACUUACCGCACGCGAGGCUUUCGACGUGCACACGCGUGCUCUCUCUCACUCUCUCUCUCUCCUCUCUCUCUCGCUCGUCGAACACGAACGCGGAACGCGUCACACUCGCUGCUCACGCGCGUUUUUCCGCGAUGCACGCGCGACGCGACGCGCCGCGUGAACUUCUCCGCGGGUGAACGUUCGAAGGUCGUUCGUCGACGCGACUUCCCCCCGCGAGUCUGUGUCCCCGGGACGUGGAAAGCCCGAUUCUCCUUGUCUUGUCACUCGAGAUCGGGACAGUCGGAUCGAUCUCUCGCCGCCUGCCUCCGACAGAAAUCGAACGUCUCGAUAGCAGAUCGAAUCUGAUUUGAUGGUAGAUCGCAUUACAAUGGGAGGAUUGUAGAUUCUACGGAAGAAGACGCGUUGAUUACACGGGUGUCAAUUGUAAGAAUCUUCUUCUGAUCGUCUUUGGAAUUGUAAACAGCCUUCGGUCGCCUCCACCACCAGAGAGAACGUACGGACCACGAAUCCAACACGUCGAAGACGGCGCACGCCCGUUUCAAUACGUCCGAUCCGUGCGUAGUUGAUGAAAGAGCGCGGGGUUAUUUUCCCAUCGGACGACGAGUGGAUGAAAGGCGUCAUUAUGCAAAUGAUGGCACUUGGAGAUUGACGGACAGGGUUGCUUGCUUGUCCUCCGACAAUGCACGCGUGCGCCGGUAUUUCUGGACAGGAGUAGGACAAUCAAACGACGGCUCGCGCACGGCUGAUGAAAGGAUCGGUUGAUCUUGAUUAAUGGUGCUGGGAUUAAGUGCGUGUAACUUGAUCGACGGGGGAUUCCUUCAUUCGGCCAAGUGACGAAAUAUAUUAUUACCUGGUGUUUGUGUGCGCGCGCGCGUGUAUGUACGCGCGUGUAGGUGUGUGUGUGUGUGUAUGUGUACGCGGUGAAACUGACAGCUGGAAUUGUUCCGCGCGCCAGAGUCCGUGCAUGCCUGACGGGAUUUCUUGAUAAGUGGAUAAUUAAGCCUUAUUGGCGAACGCUUAAAGAAGCAAUUACUUCGUCUUAAUUAGUCGCCGUGUAACCCCGUGAUUUCGUCCGACAGGAAAAUUCGUACGACCUUAGUCGCGAAAGUGGAAUUGACAAUGUGAGACUCCGAAAUAAAGAGCUUGCAUUCGUACAGCUAACGUGAAUAACCGGCGUGCUGUUUUGCGUAAUCAAUGAGGAAUGUCAAAGUUCGACGAUGACUGUAUAUUCGCUCGAUAAAUCGUACGAAACGAAAGAUUGAUUUCUUGCGCUUCGAAAUGGGACACGAUCUCCUUAAAACACACUGAAACACGUGUCGUUAGAAUCAAUUAACCAUUAUUGGCUUGUGACGACGAUUUCUAUUUAAUGCACGUCUCAUCUCGAGACAAGGUAACGAAACAACGAUCAGUUAAAAAGCCAACUGAGAGGAGAGCGAGAUAAAAUUUCGAGAGAAGUCACCACGAUCGAGGUAAUCGACAAUCUAUCGAGAAGAGAAUUUGUCGCUACGUUCCGGAGAUUACGGCCGAGUUCGAGAUUGAAACUGCGUCCUCGCGAGAAAUUUUCAAAGAGGAUCAGGACAACGUUGUUAUUAAUAUCGCCCCGAAAUCGCGAUCGAACCAGCCGGCGUAAUUAAAGCGCGUACCCGUAAUCCGAUGGAGCUCGCGCAACGCUCAUACUUAAUUAGAUGAAUGAUAAUUAAUUAGACCGGCCAAGUGUCCGGGCGAUCGAACGAGUGUCGAUUAAUUAAAACGGAUCGCGCGAAUAUUUGCUUUCCGCGCGAACAAAUCGCCGUUCUCCGGCUGUGCGCGCGUCGCGAUUGUACUCGUUAACAGUGGAUACGUUGUUCGAAGAUAAUAUACUUUAAUAUACUUGAUACUUGCCUCGUAGAAUAUAAAAACAGAGAUUCUAAUCGAAAAAGAACGCGACAGCGCGUCUCUACAUCGCCGAUGGUAGAAGAUCCAGAGCCCUCGUCGCAAAAUGUAUCGGGGUCAGUCUGGAUGCCAUUCACGUUUCGCGCAACGAUCCGGCGAUCUUGCGUUGAGAUUCUUCGUCACGACUCCCACGACGUCCGCUGAGAACACGAAAAUGUCAACAGUCGCAACGUGACCGAGUUCGGCAAAACGCGACCGUGCCGGAGGGGGAAUGCAAUUCCAUCCGCGAUAAAACGUGGAACAGAUUCACUUGGAAACGGAGCGCGUGAACUUUCUCUCUCCCUCGGAUAACGCAUCUAGCCGGGGACAAUUCGGAGCGUGCCGGCUGUGGCGUCCGGCGUUUUCGAUUUUAUUUCGCUGCUCGCGGCGCGUAAUUCUGUCGAGCUUUCCAGACUUGUCCGAUUGCCGAUUGAUUUCAGUACGCGAAACAGCCGAACGUUUUAUCUACCGGCCGAGUCGGGAGCUGUAUUCUCCCUAUCGGCUUAGCGAAAACACGUCGCUGCCACUCUGAUUUAUUACAGAGGAAAGUAAUUUCAAAAAUAUUCGAAGAUUUUAUAAUACGAUCAGUAACAAGUGAACAUCUACUAUAUAUGGUCUCUGUUAUAUGGUUUAUAUAUUAGUGGAAUGAAAACACGUCGCUGAUUCAUUAUAAAAGAAAGUAAUUCUAAUAAUUUUCAAAGUAUUUGGAGAGCUCGUAAUACGAUCAGUAACAAGUGAACAGCCGCAGUAAUUGACACGUUCAUAAUUCAAUCGGUAAGCACUAGUUUCGAGAAAUCUGAAUAUUCGGAUUCCGGUCGAUAAGCAUUGAAAAUCCGAAUAUUCCGGUCGAUAAACGUUGGACCUGGGAAAAUCCGAUUAUUCGGAUGCCAGUCGGUAAAGUGUUAAGAUGUCGUAUGGCAACGACACGAUCUUAAACUUCUCUGUCAAAUUACUUCUGUCUCGGGUUGUUCGUGCGGAACGUUGAACGAUUUUACUAAUUCCAGGUUUCAGAAUCGAGUUUUCGAGAGAACACUAUUACAAAAAAGAUAUAAAUUCAAGGUUAGUCGUGGUAGGUAAGACAGAUUUUACUCCGAAAAAAAAAAAAGAAACAAUGAAUAUUGAAAAAUUCAUUGUAUGUGCACUAUGAGAGGAAGUGAGGUUAUAUGAUGUUGUACGUAAGAAAUUCUAAACGAAAUUUUCAAAUUGACCAGUCGUGUUAGGUUAGGUAGUGUUAAUCGAGAGCAGCUCGAGAGAUCGACGUUCGAUGUUUUCGUUCGACUAUCGCUCGCGGAAUGCUCGAAUGCGUUUCUCGAAACUGGUCUCCGGGAUUAACGACGCGAAAGUGAUCUCGUGAACGCGUGUGACGUACACGCGGCGAAGGACAGAGAGUUCGCUGGACAUGUUUAGACGAAAGUGACAGUGAUUAGUGAUCGUGUAUGGCGCACACUGCCGCGGCUCACGUGUCAUUUCGCAAAAUCGAGCGAAUCGUUGUGCAAAAGUGACCGGUGAAAGUGACUCUCGUCUGAAUUCACUCGGAUUGCAAGUACAAACGUGUGUUUAAUUUUAAUUUUCAACGUGUAGUUGUCACUGAGUUGUGCUCAUUUUCGUCUUUCUAUACGGUGGAACAAAAAUUUAGUUUCGAUGAUACAAUUUGACGAUUGAACGUCGUUCCGUGAUUCUGUGACUGGCAGUGGAGUUUUAUACGGUUUUUUUUUUCUUUUUUGUUUUGUGUUUGUGAAUUGACGAUUUCGUGCGCGAUCGUUACGAUGAGAAACGAGAAAAGGAAUGAUUGCUUUGGCACGUCACGCGUUGGACAGACAUUGGUCGACCGGUGGCGAACGAGACGGCGAGCAAUUAACGAAAUACGCAAUUAAAAGAGCGACUAGACGGGGAUAAUUGAAACAUCGAUGGGUGGAAAGGAGGAAGAGGAGGCUGGGGACGUAGCCGUCAAGAUGCCAGAGGCCACUCUGAAAAUAUUCAACGGAGUGCAGUAUAUGGGUUCGUUCCCUGUGGCAAUACCCGACAUUGCCAGCCGAGCUGAGUACGUACGCACCCAAUUGGAGAUCCUUCGA